rnacentral:rRNA from 1 species
UACGGAGGGAGCUAGCGUUGUUCGGAAUUACUGGGCGUAAAGCGCACGUAGGCGGCUUUGUAAGUUAGAGGUGAAAGCCCGGGGCUCAACCCCGGAAUUGCCUUUAAGACUGCAUCGCUUGAAUCUGGGAGAGGUGAGUGGAACUCCGAGUGUAGAGGUGAAAUUCGUAGAUAUUCGGAAGAACACCAGUGGCGAAGGCGGCUCACUGGCCCGGUACUGACGCUGAGGUGCGAAAGCGUGGGGAGCAAACAGG